rnacentral:rRNA from 1 species
CACGUAGGGACCAAGCGUUGUCCGGAUUCAUUGGGCGUAAAGAGCUCGUAGGCGGUUCGAUAAGUCGGGUGUGAAACCUCCAGGCUCAACCUGGAGACGCCACCCGAUACUGUCGUGACUAGAGUCCAGUAGGGGAGCGUGGAAUUCCUGGUGUAGCGGUGAAAUGCGCAGAUAUCAGGAAGAACACCUAUGGCGAAGGCAGCUCUCUGGGACGGUACUGACGCUGAGACGCGAAAGCGUGGGGAGCGAACAGG